AUUCCUAAACGGUUUUGUUACAAGAAUGUCUUUCCAAACUUUUGAAGCACCCUAAUAUGGCAACGUUUGACACUCUGGGAACAAAAGUUUCAUUUUCAAUAUUUCAAACCAGCACAAAUUAUUUCGUUAGUGCCAUUAAUCACAACUGUUACACCGCAAUAAAUCUUUAACUCUUUCCAUAAAGUAAAUAUUUGCAUUUGCUUGGUUGAACUUGUAAUCAGGAACCAACACUGAUCCUUGUGGUGUUUUUAUUUCUCCAACGAAUACAGCAGUUAACUCACAUUUAGUCUUUCAAUACUGGAUUAAUCCUCGACUGGAGCGUACAGAAUUUUGCCUUUGCAAUGAUAUACGUCUGUGUAAUGUAAUUGGAUUUAACGAUUUCGCAAUUCCUAGUGAACGAGAAUGGUAUCACACAAAUAUACUCAUUUGGAAAUAGUCAGCUGAAGGUGUUAAUUUUUAUAAUUUGUAUAUUAGCCAUUAAUCCAUUUUCCCCAUUUGUUUGUUUACUCAGAGUACGUACGAGUGAAAAAUACGUAGGCUACUGUUCCGCCGUCCAGGUUAAGGCAGGAGCAAAAGGUUGGCAGUUAUUCAUAGUAUUAUAAUGGUUGCCUUCAUCAGUGCUGGACUACGUCGCAAAAUGGUGGUUGAAAUUCAACGUCAUUUUCGACAACGACAUUUUUCGAGCAGUAUCACAAAGUGGAAAAAUAAGCUUUCGUAAUUUAAAGUCCAAAUGCAUCUUGUCUCUAUUUCAAGAUUGUGUUCCAGAUAGUGAUUAGGUGAAAGUAUUUACUGAGGUUUUGUUUUUGCCAUAUCGCUUGCUUCAUGAUUCUUGCAAUCAUCGAUGUUCAUCCACGUUGCAGAAUGCUGUUUAUAGUUCAAUUAGAUUUUUUUUACAAAUACAGAACUCAAUACUGGUCUGUGUCACAUAUAUAAACAUAUUUAUUCUGUUACACGUUCAAAUGUAUCCUGUUUCAAUCUUUUAACUAAGUUCUAACAAACUUGUACAAUAAAUUAUCUACCUUGGAAAAAAUAAGUACAUUUUCCUUUAUGUUAUUUUAUUUUAUUUUAUUAAAAAAAAAAUUUGUUGAAAAAGUUCUUCUCAUAUGCAUAUUAUUAGCUUAUGCCAAGAUAGAGCGUUUUCAAACAUUGCCUUUGAGAACAUAUAACAAAGAUAUUUUUGAGAAAAUAAUCUAUGAAAAUACCUUUGUUAUAUCUGCGACAUGUUGACUAUACGACGUUAGCCUGAAAUUUCCGAGUACUGCAUGCAUGAAUCGGCAAAUAUAUAGGCAUCUUUACCCCCAAUUUCAAACGCUUGCAAAACAUUUGUUUUAUUUCUUCGAGGGAUUAGAUCCAUUAGAAAUUCUCAGUCGUU